rnacentral:rRNA from 1 species
UACGUAGGGGGCAAGCGUUGUCCGGAUUUAUUGGGCGUAAAGAGCGUGUAGGCGGUUAGGUAGGUCCGUUGUGAAAACUCGAGGCUCAACCUCGAGACGCCGAUGGAAACCCCCUAACUAGAGUCCGGAAGAGGAGAGUGGAAUUCCUGGUGUAGCGGUGAAAUGCGCAGAUAUCAGGAAGAACACCCGUGGCGAAGGCGGCUCUCUGGAACGGUACUGACGCUGAGACGCGAAAGCGUGGGGAGCGAACAGG